GUCAUUCUUCUGUAGCGCUGCUGGAGUUUAUGUAAUAUGACGUCAUUCCUCUGAACAUCUGAAGCCCUCUGGUGACGUCAGUCUCUGUCGGCCCCUCCCCUUCACGUGACCACUCAUUGUGGCGUUGUGGUCAUGUGUGAAUGAGCGGCUGAAUCCAGUGACGUCACGUGGCCUGGGCGUUCCCGCCUCCAGCCCCGAAUGUUUUUCUGACUCAGACCUGCCCUGUAACAUUCACGAGAAUGGCAGUGUUGUAUUUUCCCAGCUUCAGUGAAUGCAGCACACGCACGGCGGUCUGACCAAUCAGACAAACGGACACGCGGCGGGUUCGUGAGGAAAAGAAGCGGGAAGCUCUUCUGUUGUGGCGGCUGCAGCGGCGGGAAGACUCUGUCCGAACACCUGGAACAGGUAAAGGCGGGAAAUGUUCCCGUGAUGUGAACACCUGUGUGACCUGAUGACAGGUGUGUUAGCUCCAGCGUUAGCCUAGCAUCAGUCAGUCUGUUCCUCCACGACAGAGAAAACAUUGGAAUCAAAUCAGGUUUGAUUGGAUUCAAGACUUGCAGCAGCUGAAGUCAUGUGACUUCCCCCUGGUUAUUGGGCCAGACCCCCCCUCCCCCCUUUUUCAUUUCUCUGAGAAAUGAGCAGCAGAACCGGGUCAGUCAUCAGAUCCAGAUUCAGUUUUUGUUUUUCCGUCUAACAUCAGCUGUAGAUCCUUGACCUGAUCUGUGGAUCAAAUGUCCAAAUCCACGAGCUUCCCGGAGCCGGUUGAAGAGCCGAACCCGGUCCAGGUGGGACACCUGUUCGGACCAUGUUUUGGAGUUCUGUGUCGGGGGUUCUGGUCCAUUUCCGUUUCUUCUCAUCAACAUCAUUCCAGAGGAACAGACUGACGGUCUCAGACUGAAAGUGAGGAUUUCAUCUUUCUCUGUUGGACCAGGACCACAGCAGCUCUGACCCGACCCGGAAUGCUGAAGUACCGCUGCAGUGACCAUGACCUGCUGAUCAGAGGAAAACAAAAACAAAGCAGAGUUCAGGUGAACUUUCACAUCUGCAGAACCAGACCUGGAUCAGAACCAGGAGGAGGGAACCAGACCUGGAUCAGAACCAGUUUGAAAGUUUCUUUCAGGUCCUCCUCAGUCUCGUCAAUCCAUCUGAUCUGAGCUGGAUUAAGAUUGUUCUCGGACGUCUUCAUCUUCCCGCCUCAGAUUGUCCAUGACGGUCCAGGCCAGAGCCCAGAAGCCCCGCCCCCAUACAGCCCUGUUUUUAUUGGUUUACGUCCACCAGUAAAUGAAAAAAAAAACGAGUUUUUGAGCUUGCAGAACAUAAAUAAACAUUCCAGCGUGUUUUAUAUGUUCCUCUCUGGUCGAUCUUCAGAGCUCAGAGUUGUUGACAGUUUGGUUUACGAGCAGUCGCAGCCGCCGGACAACCUCCAGGACUUUCAGGAAACCAGAAACAGUUGGUUGCCUAGGCAACCACCUUUAUUAGGGUUUAAUGGUCUGUAUGAGUUUUUGAGAGAACUAUUACCAAACAUAUGAAGAUGUUUCUGAAAAUACAAAAUAACAAUUUGUAUGUCAAUAAAUAAAUAAAUAAAAUUAAAGUUUCAUUUAAUUAGCAUUUCUUAUGCACACAUAACUAGCCCCGCCCCUCCUGCUUUAAAAAACACAAUUGAACUUUGAUGUGAAGCACAAAGCACAGCGGUGGAGGAUUCAUGAUGUGGGGUUGUUGGAGUUUCUCUAAAAUCAUUUUUCUCAUUUAUCAAAUAACUGUUUUGUCACCAAGUUUCUUUUUUGUUAAGUUUAUGUCAUAAAUAAAUGGACAUCAGUUUUCCGUUUCA